AUGGCAUUUGCUAUAGUACUAUAAUGCAGUCGAGCGAUAGGACAUAGAGAGCUUGCUCUUAUGACGUUAGCGGCGGACGGGUGAGUAACACGUGGGUAACCUACCUAUAAGACUGGGAUAACUUCGGGAAACCGGAGCUAAUACCGGAUAAUAUUUCGAACCGCAUGGUUCGAUAUUGAAAGAUGGUUUUGCUAUCACUUAUAGAUGGACCCCCGCCGUAUUUACUAAUUGGGUGAGGUAACCGCUUACCCAGGGGACCAUUCCUAACCCAACUGGGAGGGUGAUCSGCCACACUGGGACUGAAACACCGUCCAAAAUCCUACCGGAAGCAACAAUAAGGAAUCUUUCGCAAUUGGCGAAAGCCUGGCGGAGCCACGCCGCGGGAAUGAAUAAAGGUCUUCCGAUCCUAAAACUCUGUUAUUAGGGGAAGAACAUACUUGUAAGUAACUAUGCUCGUCUUGGCGGUGCCUGAACCCAAAGCCACAGGUAAAUUCCUGUCAUCGGCCGCGGUAUAUCCGUAGGUGGCAAAACUUAUUCCGGGAAUCAUUGGGCGUAAAGGCGCGCGUAGGCGGGUUUUCAUAUCUUAAGUGGAAGCCCACGCGUCUACCCGUUGAAGGUCAUGUGGACAUCUGGAACACUGGAGUGCACAAGAGGAAAGUGGAAUUCCAUGUGUAGCGGUGAAAUGCGCAGAGAUAUGGAGGAACACCAGUGGCGAAGGCGACUUUCUGGUCUGUAACUGACGCUGAUGUGCGAAAGCGUGGGGAUCAAACAGGAUUAGAUACCCUGGUAGUCCACGCCGUAAACGAUGAGUGCUAAGUGUUAGGGGGUUUCCGCCCCUUAGUGCUGCAGCUAACGCAUUAAGCACUCCGCCUGGGAAGGGCGGCCGCAAGUUUUAGAAACUCAAAGUCCUCCGACGGGGCCCCUUCACACCAGAGGUGGAGCCUGUGGUUUAAUUCGAAGCAACGCGAAGAAUACCUUACCAAAGGUCGACAACCUCCUGGACAACUCUAGAAGAGAGGAGCCUUUCCCCUUCGGGGAACAAAAAGUGACAGGUGGUGCAUGGUUGUCUGUCAGCUGGUGUCUGGGAGAUGUAGGGUUAAGUCCCCGCAAACGAGGGCAAACCCUUAAGCUUUAGUUGCCCAUCAUUAAGUUGGCCACUCUAAGUUGACUGCCGGGUGCCAAACCGGAGAAAGGUGGGGAUGAGGUCAAAUCAUCAUGCCCCUUAUGAUUUGGGUUCCACACGUGUUCCAAUGGACAAUACAAAGGGCAGCGAAACGGCGAGGUCAAGCAAAUCCCAUAAAGUUGUUCUCAGUUCGGAUUGUAGUCUGCAACUGGACUACAUGAAGCUGGAAUCGUUAGUAAUCGUGGAUCAGCAUGCUACGGUGAAUACGUUCCCGGGUCUUGUACACACCGCCCGUCACACCACGAGAGUUUGUAACACCAGAUUCCGGUGGAGUAACCAUUAGGAGGUAGCCGUCGAAUGUCGUUCCAU
rnacentral:rRNA from 1 species